rnacentral:rRNA from 1 species
GAUGAACGCUGGCGGCGUGCCUAAUACAUGCAAGUCGAGCGAACAGACGAGGAGCUUGCUCCUCUGACGUUAGCGGCGGACGGGUGAGUAACACGUGGAUAACCUACCUAUAAGACUGGGAUAACUUCGGGAAACCGGAGCUAAUACCGGAUAAUAUAUUGAACCGCAUGGUUCAAUAGUGAAAGACGGUUUUGCUGUCACUUAUAGAUGGAUCGGGGCCGCAUUAGCUAGUUGGUAAGGUAACGGCUGACCAAGGCAACGAUGGGUAGCCGACCUGCGAGGGUGAGCGGCCACACUGGAACGGAGACACGGUCCAGACUCCUACGGGAGGCAGCAGUAGGGAAUCUUCCGCAAUGGGCGAAAGCCUGACGGAGCAACGCCGCGUGAGUGAUGAAGGUCUUCGGAUCGUAAAACUCUGUUAUUAGGGAAGAACAAAUGUGUAAGUAACUAUGCACGUCUUGACGGUACCUAAUCAGAAAGCCACGGCUAACUACGUG